rnacentral:rRNA from 1 species
AUUGAACGCUGGCGGCAUGCCUUACACAUGCAAGUCGAACGGCAGCGGACCUUCGGGUGCCGGCGAGUGGCGAACGGGUGAGUAAUAUAUCGGAACGUACCUUUCAGUGGGGGAUAACGUAGCGAAAGUUACGCUAAUACCGCAUAUUCUGUGAGCAGGAAAGCAGGGGAUCGCAAGACCUUGCGCUGAUUGAGCGGCCGAUAUCAGAUUAGCUAGUUGGUGAGGUAAAGGCUCACCAAGGCGACGAUCUGUAGCGGGUCUGAGAGGAUGAUCCGCCACACUGGAACUGAGACACGGUCCAGACUCCUACGGGAGGCAGCAGUGGGGAAUCUUGCGCAAUGGGAGCAAUCCUGACGCAGCAACGCCGCGUGGGUGAUGAAGGUCUUCGGAUCGUAAAGCCCUGUCGGAGGGGAAGAUGCCUGUAACGUCUAAUAGAUGAGACAGGUGACGGUACCCUCAAAGGAAGCACCGGCUAACU